CCAAGCUCGCCGGUGAGAAAAUCGAAGACGGGAUCGAGUUUAGAGAUGUCGAAAGUGGGCGAGAAGAGCUGUGGACAGAGGAAAACGAGGCGUGGGAAAUCUUCGUCGGAGAUUCCUUUCGAUUUGAGGAGAUUCACGGCGGAGAGGAUAACGGAAAGAUCAUUCGCCGGAGGAGCAAGUCGGGGAUUCUGAGGAACAAUUCCGAGAGAAGAAAGGUGUCUUAGAUUUUCACGGUGUGAGG